rnacentral:rRNA from 1 species
UACAGAGACUGCAAGCGUUAUUCGGAUUCACUGGGCGUAAAGGGUGCGCAGGCGGCCAAGUGUGUGAGGCGUGAAAGCCCGGGGCUUAACCCCGGAAUUGCACCUCAAACUACAUGGCUAGAGCAUUGGAGAGGGUAGCAGAAUUCAUGGUGUAGCAGUGAAAUGCGUAGAUAUCAUGGGGAAUACCAGAGGCGAAGGCGGCUACCUGGACAAUUGCUGACGCUCAGGCACGAAAGCGUGGGGAGCAAAAGGG